rnacentral:rRNA from 1 species
AUGUCAGCCGCCGCGGUAAUACGGAGGGAGCUAGCGUUAUUCGGAAUUACUGGGCGUAGAGCGCACGUAGGCGGCUUUGUAAGUAAGAGGUGAAAGCCCAGAGCUUAACUCUGGAAUUGCCUUUUAGACUGCAUCGCUUGAAUCAUGGAGAGGUCAGUGGAAUUCCGAGUGUAGAGGUGAAAUUCGUAGAUAUUCGGAAGAACACCAGUGGCGAAGGCGGCUGACUGGACAUGUAUUGACGCUGAGGGGCGAAAGCGUGGGGAGCAAACAGGAUUAGAUACCCUGGUAGUCCACGCCGUAAACGAUGAUAACUAGCUGUCCGGGGACUUGGUCUCUGGGUGGCGCAGCUAACGCAUUAAGUUAUCCGCCUGGGGAGUACGGCCGCAAGGUUAAAACUCAAAGGAAUUGACGGGG